AUGAACGCUGGCGGCGUGCCUAAUCCCUGCAAGUCGCGCGAACGGACGAGAAGCUUGCUUUUCUGAUGUUAGCGGCGGACGGGUGAGUAACACGUGGAUAACCUACCUAUAAGACUGGGAUAACUUCGGGAAACCGGAGCUAAUACCGGAUAAUAUUUUGAACCGCAUGGUUCAAAAGUGAAAGACGGUCUUGCUGUCACUUAUAGAUGGAUCCGCGCUGCAUUAGCUAGUUGGUAAGGUAACGGCUUACCAAGGCAACGAUGCAUAGCCGACCUGAGAGGGUGAUCGGCCACACUGGAACUGAGACACGGUCCAGACUCCUACGGGAGGCAGCAGUAGGGAAUCUUCCGCAAUGGGCGAAAGCCUGACGGAGCAACGCCGCGUGAGUGAUGAAGGUCUUCGGAUCGUAAAACUCUGUUAUUAGGGAAGAACAUAUGUGUAAGUAACUGUGCACAUCUUGACGGUACCUAAUCAGAAAGCCACGGCUAACUACGUG
rnacentral:rRNA from 1 species